CAUGGAGGACCUCAUGGCUGUCAGGGGUGAUCUAGAUAAAGAUUCAGCAAAGGAGUUUGCGAAAGAUCAGCCAGAUAAGAGUAGAACCUGGAGAGAUCAAUGUCAUGAAAGCCUAGAGAGAAGAGAAUGAUUUACAUUGUCAAAGUCCAUAGAGAAGUAAAGAAGGACGAGGAUUAAGGAAAGACCAUUUGAUUUGGCAGGCAUCAUAUAAGCUUAAUACAUGGAUAUCGAAUGAAUGAGCAAAUGAAUCUUCCUUCCUGUUCCCCAUGACCAGAAGGCACUCCCUUCUCACUUCUACCUCUUGGAAUCCUCAAUUUCCUUCAAGACUCAAAUUAUGGAUUGAUGACUGAGUAGGCAGUGAUAGAGAAGUCAGAAAAAGUCAUGUCAAAGAAGAAGAAAUUUGCUGGAAAAGUAUGAUUAGAAAAGGAGGUAAACCAGCCACAUAGCAAAAGAGGAAGAACACAUUGACAAGUCUGAGGUCCCAUUGGAACACACAAAAUGGGAAAAGUCCUAGAGGAAGUCCUCCAUCACAUCGGGUGAAUCCUCUGUGGAGUGACUAUGAAAGAAUUUGGACAAGAGAUGAACAGGAUGAGAAGGAACCAGUGGGUUACAACCUACACCAAUGGAAGGAAU